rnacentral:rRNA from 1 species
UACGUAGGGGGCAAGGGUUGUCCGGAUUUAUUGGGCGUAAAGAGCGUGUAGGCGGUUAGGUAGGUCCGUUGUGAAAACUCGAGGCUCAACCUCGAGACGCCGAUGGAAACCAUCUGACUAGAGUCCGGAAGAGGAGAGUGGAAUUCCUGGUGUAGCGGUGAAAUGCGUAGAGAUGUGGAGGAACACCAGUGGCGAAGGCGACUCUUUGGCCUGUAACUGACGCUGAGGCGCGAAAGCGUGGGGAGCAAACAGG